GAUUAACGCUGGCGGCGUGCCUAACACAUGCAAGUCGAGCGGCAGCGAGUUUUACACUGAAUUCUGGAAGCUUCUAGUUGAAAGAGAAGAUUUAUUCAAGAAUUUUGUGUAAAAUGUCGGCGAGCGGCGGACGGCUGAGUAACGCGUGGGAACGUACCCCAAAGUGCGGGAUAACGCAUCGAAAGGUGUGCUAAUACCGCAUAUGGUCUUCGGAUUAAAGCCUUCGGGCGCUUUGGGAACGGCCUGCGUAAGAUUAGAUAGUUGGUGGGGUAAUGGCCUACCAAGUCGACGAUCUUUAACUGGUAUGAGAGGAUGAUCAGUCAGACUGGAACUGAGACACGGUCCAGACUCCUACGGGAGGCAGCAGUGAGGAAUCUUCCACAAUGGGCGAAAGCCUGAUGGAGCAACGCCGCGUGCAGGAUGAAGGCCUUCGGGUUGUAAACUGCUUUUAUAAGUGAGGAUUAUGACAGUAACUUAUGAAUAAGGAUCGGCUAACUACGUG
rnacentral:rRNA from 1 species